rnacentral:rRNA from 1 species
GAUAUGGCUCAGAACGAACGCUGGCGGCGCGUUUAAGCAUGCAAGUCGAGCGGCAAGGGCCUUCGGGCCCCUAGAGCGGCGGACGAGUGAGUAACACGUGGACAAUCUGCCCCCGGCCCGGGAUAGCCCAGGGAAACCUGGAUUAAUACCGGAUGAGACGGGACCUGCGAUGGCGGGAUCCGGGAAAGGCGCUACGGCGCCGCCGGGGGAUGAGUCUGCGUCCCAUUAGCUAGACGGCGGGGUAACGGCCCACCGUGGCGACGAUGGGUAGCCGGCCUGAGAGGGUGGACGGCCACAUUGGAACUGAGACACGGUCCAGACUCCUACGGGAGGCAGCAGCUAAGAAUCUUCCGCAAUGGGCGAAAGCCUGACGGAGCGACGCCGCGUGAACGAAGAAGGCCGUGAGGUUGUAAAGUUCUUUUCGGGAGGGGGAACAACCGUGGCAGGGAAUGGCCGCGGGAUGACGUGAAUCCCGGAAUAAGCCCCGGCUAACUACGUGCCAGCAGCAGC